CCCAGGACCCCUCGGCGGGCCUGCCCAGGCCGGAGCGGGCGCCCCAGGGCCCGGAGAAGCCGAUGACCGUGCUGUCGGCCCUUCGCGCCUACAGCUCUGAUGGCUUGGCGGCCUUUAACGGACUCGCGAGCAGCGCGGCCAAUUCGGGGUGUAUCAAGAGGCCAGACCUGUGCGGUAAGUGACCCCCUGUCCAGCCGGUCUGGCUGGACUGGCCCUUGCGUGCCCGUGCUCCUCGGUGGCUCUCUGCGGCUUGUUACCCGUGUACAGUCAAGAGAAGACGGUAUACACAUGUGUGUGUUGAGUGACUAAUUGCUGUCGGCAUAGGUGUGUGUACGCAUGGCACGCCACCCUGCGGUGCCCGUGGCAGAGCAUCAGGGAGGCCAACGCGCGGCCCCGUACACCCGCCCUCGCCCACGGAUCGCGGAGGCUCCGCAGCUGCAGCGGGAGAGACACCCCCUCAGAGGCGUGGACCCCGAGCGCCACGUGCUGGUGCACGGAGGUCCCUUCACCGCGAAGAGCCCGACGGGUUCCUGCGAAGCCAGCUCCCCGCAGCUUCCUGGGGCAGCCCCGAGGUGGCCUCGGUGGCGUCACUGCUCAUGUCCGAUUGUCCUGUCCUUUGUAACACUUUAGAAGAAUCCAGAAAAGUGCAGUAAUUAUCUUUCUCCACAUAUUUAAGCAGUAAUGUUGCUAGUUUAAUAUUGUGUAAGGUCGUCACAGGGACCAGGAGCAGGUGACCGUCCGAUUCCUGCGAACGAACAGCACCCUGACGGCCUUGACUCAGAAAUGGCGACGGAAGCAAACUGUGUAAACGUGUCCGGGUUGUCCGUGCUCCGAGAGAGCUGUCCGAAGAGUUAGAAGCCGUGUGAGGUGUCCCUGUAAUGAAGGCAUGUAAGUCCUAACGAGUGUCGCUCUCCUGAUAAGUGUCAGACUGUAUCUUUCCUGUGCUGUAUGCUGCGUUACAACUUAGGUCAUUCACGAAUGGAACGUGAGACAUACUAAAAAUGCUUCAGUAACUUAUCUCGGUAUCGCUAAUAAAAAGCUUGAAACCUGA